CCUACGGGUGGCAGCAGUGGGGAAUAUUGCGCAAUGGGCGAAAGCCUGACGCAGCGACGCCGCGUGAGGGAUGAAGGUCUUCGGAUCGUAAACCUCUGUCAGCAGGGAAGAACGGUCACUGUGCUAAUCAGCAGUGAAUUGACGGUACCUGCAAAGGAAGCACCGGCUAACUCCGUGCCAGCAGCCGCGGUAAUACGGAGGGUGCGAGCGUUAAUCGGAAUUACUGGGCGUAAAGCGCUCGUAGGCGGUAUGCCAAGUCAGCGGUAAAAAUGCGGUGCUCAACGCCGUCGAGCCGUUGAAACUGGCGUUCUUGAGUGGGCGAGAAGUAUGCGGAAUGCGUGGUGUAGCGGUGAAAUGCAUAGAUAUCACGCAGAACUCCGAUUGCGAAGGCAGCAUACCGGCGCCCUACUGACGCUGAGGCACGAAAGCGUGGGUAUCGAACAGGAUUAGAUACCCGGGUAGUC
rnacentral:rRNA from 1 species